UAGUCGCCGCCGCCGCUCACGCCCUCCUCACUCUCGUCUCUCCCUCUCCCUCUCUCGCCGCCGCCGCCUCGCGCCAUCGCCAACGCCGUCCCCGUCACCUCGCGCCUGCGCCCUCGUCCCCGCCUCCGCCUCGCGUAGCCGUCGCGGUCGCCACUCCCUGCCACCACGCCCUUCAUCGCCCAAUCGCCGUCCCUGAGCACGGGCUUCGAGGCGGACGCGGAGAAAUCGAGGAGGCGAACGCUCCUUCCUCUUCCCCUCUUGUCUCUCCUCUGCCUGCGAGGAGCGCUGCUUUGCCGCCGUCAUCGCCGUCGUCACCUUGCCGGUCUAGCCGCUCGCUGCCAUCAGAGUGGUCGGAUCUGAUGGUGGCGAGCACGUGGCUGUCGAUUGUUUGGCGGUUGAUGGAGCCACCGUUGUCCUCCCACAAGCCGGUAUCACCAUUUUCGCGUUGUAGUGGACAAGGGGCUCCACGGUGGCGACGAGCUCAACCUUGGCGGAUUGAGCGAUGGCGUCAACCUCGCCGGCGGCGCCGAUAAAUAGAGGCUUGCUGGAUCUGAUGGCGGCGAGGUCGUGGCCGCCAGAUCCGGUAGCCUGGCGGCUAAUGGAGGGGCUGUUGGUCUGGCGGAUGGAGGUGCUCACUCUCCUCUCCGUCGUGCAUUCACGUUUAACUGGUGCUGCCGCCACCACCAUCGCCGGCACGGCAAGGCAUCCACCUCCUCUGCACCAUCCCCUUCCUCCUCACACUUCUCUGCCAGCCUGAAGCACCAUCGCCGGCACGGCAAGGCAUCCACCUCCUCUGCACCAUCCCCUUCCUCCUCACACUUCUCUGCCAGCCUGAAGCACCCCAUGAGUAUGGAUCCCUCGAUUUGGCGCUAGACCAUGACGCUGCCUCAAGCCCUCGCCGAUGAGUUCACUGCCACCGCCACCACUGCGCGGCCAGACGACAUGAUGCUCGUGAAUCGGAUGCAACGGCUUGCUCACUAGGAUAACUGACAUCGGCAGUUCAUGCUAGAGCAGGAACGGAUAUACAGGUACUGAAAAUACUGAUUAUCCUGUGUGAGCUGUUCAAGAAUUCAAAGAUGGGUUCAUUCACAAGGAGGAGUUCCAGCUAGCACUCUUUAGGAACAGCAACAAGAAGAACCUUUUCGCUGAUCGGAUAUUUGAUCUCUUUGAUCUUAAGCGCAAUGGCAUUACUGAUUUCGGGGAGUUUGUUCAAUCCAUUGACAUUUUUCACCCGGAAAUGCCUUUGGCAGAGAAGAUUGCCUUGUCUUAAGAAAUAGCUUAGUCGCUACCUGAAAACAAUACUUGCUGGUAAUCAAGGAUUUUUAAAAGAUAGAAGCAGAAAUAGAUUGUAAGAUCUGAGAGGAACUUGAUACAUCGAACGUGAAGAGACGGACGGUCAAAUGUUGGACACGGAAGCCCAGGGUUUGUCUUUUUUUGGGACGGAGGGAGUAUGUGCAGAUGGUCUAGCAACUAAUCUGUCCCCAGUAGUUCACAUAUUUCAUCUCCAUUCUGGGUAAUAGUUGCUUGCAAUCUGCUUUAUUCCUCCUGUGAAGUAUUUACUGUCAGCAGCACACCAUAUUUUUUGUUGUCAACUAAUAAUAAUCUUGUGUCACAAGCAACAUAACCUGCUAUAGAUUUUCUGGUUAUAAAUAUCCUAUGACCAGUAUAAACCAAACACUAUAAAGAUUUUUCUCCAUGAAUAUUCUGGUCUCUCACAUGCACAUUGUAGCACUUAAUUGUUCAUGACUAUUUAACAACUUUGCAAAUGAAAUACUCCUGGCUGGUUCAUUAAGUUAGAAAUAGACUUUUCGAAUACUCAUCAAAGAAAUCAAAUGCAGUUCAUGUUUAGUUAGCUAACAUAUCGAUCACUGAUUUAAGUUUAGCUCUCUGUAUUUAGAUGCGUGACACUUUCAUGAUUGCUAUUCCCUUUAUUAAAGUUCUUCAUCCUGUGAACUACUGGUAGCUUUGACUUGGGGGCUAGGUCCCUGUUUCACCCUUUGUGCCACGGUGACAUUUCUGAUACUUAAUUGCAUUUUCGACUGAUUGCCAGAAUGGCAUAUUAAAAUUUAAGUGCAAGUUUCAUCUUGCUAAAGAUUUCCUAUAGACUGUCACUAUUUUUUUUGUCAUUAGCAAUUUAGCAUUGCAAGAUUUCCUAUAAAUUGUCUUUGUUAUUUUUGCUUAAAAAUACUAACGAGCUAUAGAUAGAUUUUCUUGUUGGCUUAAAAGAACUAAUGAGCUAAUGAUAUUAUGCUAUAGGGUCCUACUAAUGAUGUGAAAAUGUUAUUAUCCUGUAUAUGCUGCAUAUUAUUGGUGUCAACUAUUUACUAAUAAGUGAUUCUGGCUGACAACAAUGUUCUUUUGGACAUUUCUGUGAAUCUUUAAGCAUAUGCAUGCAUUCUGAAAUAUGAACAUCCCCUUCUGUUUACUUUGGGAAAAAAAUCCGUGCGCAUCUCUUUUUUUCCCUAAACUGUUCCUUCCUAUUGCAGAGGCUGCAGGAUUUGUACCUGUUGAGCCCAUUUAAAUACUCUAGAGGAAAUACUGGAGAAGAAGGUGGAGGAGGCCACCGAAAGGAAGUUUGAUAGUUGUGCAAGAGCUCUUUUUUGGCUUAGUAGGUAAACUCACACAUAGCAUAUAAUGGGCUUUAGUUCUUCUCUUAUGGAGUUUUGCUACCUACAAAUUUCAACCUUGCAUACCUCUUCAUAUUAAUAGUUAUCUUCUCUAACAUCACUAGAUGCAUGGAUUCACUAUUGCACCGCAAAGCUUUGCACACCUUGUAGAAACUGCAUGCAUGAUCAUUCUGAAGUCAUUGCAGCAUUGGAUCUCUUUAGCAACCUAUGAUUGGUCAGGGUCCAUUGAAUCUAAGUGUACCAUUUUUUUUUUGUCGAAAAUGACUGUUUUUCCAUCGCACUUGUCCUGCACAACUAUGAUUGUAUUGAUACUGAAUUCACCUUACAAAGAUCAAAAUAUUUGCUUUUAGUGAAGUUGCAUAUUAUCUGCUCAUUUUUCAGGCCAAGUUUAGAUUAGACAGGCUGAAAUCAACUUGAUGGCAAGUCUAAAAUGGUUGUUCCAAUGUGUUAUUAUGUGAUACUGCCUUGGUGAGCUGGUUUGUCUAUGCAUAAAGAUUUUCCUUUUUGUGUCACAGUAGUAUUACCACGUGUCUAUGGAUCACUCUGUAAAUGUCAGAAUAAAACCCCACGUAUACUAGCUUGGAUAUAGGCGUGGUUUCAAUGCAGUUCCAAGAAUCCACAUAAGUUUUAUCAUCCAUUUCCAAAUUAUUCAUCCACAUUUGCAUUUCAAAUUAAUUUACAGUAACACAAAUCAAGAUCUGUGCUUAAAAAGUUAUAAUUGUCUUUAGUACCUCAUAGCUGUUAUAUUACUCUCAUUUCUCCUCCAUUGCAUUACGGAGAAAUAUCUUCAUUGUCAUGAUUUUGGACAUGUCUUUAUGUUUAAAAUAGCAUCUGUUGUAUGUGCUUGUUUAAUUUAUACUAGCAGUGCUGUUGUACAUGAAUGACCAUAUGUACAUUAGAAAAUAUGAAGUUCUUUGUACUUAGUCCUUACCAUUGGGUUCGACAAUAUGUUGUCUGUACAGUACCUGGCUUGUAUUAACGGCAAGGCUAUGAUAUCCUUUAUGUAUUGAAAUUACCAUCCUACAUGUUCAUGGCUCCUUUUUAUUUGCUUAUUCCUGUUUAUAAAAAAAGAUGCAAUUCUCUCUUUACAUUUGUUGACUUUUGAUCAAUCAAAUUAUAUAGGACGAGUUGUAUACAGGAGGCGCAAAAGGGUGCGACCCAGAGCAACAACAUUGUUUAUGGAACAGUUUCUAUUUGCAUUGUAAUAAACAAUCUUACAUCUUCACGACUUGAAAUUCUUUAGUUGAUGGCCUCCAAUCUAAAUAGUUCUUAACAUGUUACCAGUUACUGCUUUCUACAAAGUUAUAUUUCUGAAUGGUGUUUUUCCCAGAAUUCAGAAUCUUAAAAUCUGUGCUACUGGAAGAGUUAUUAUUUCAGUUUGUUUAAUUAAAAUCAACUUCACUGCACCACAUAGGCACAUGCUAUGAAUCUACUAGAGUAUGACCAUGUAGCAUUUGUCCAUGGCCUUGAAUUUGUUGAUGAUUUUUUUUUGUAAGCAUUGAAGUUCUUCUGAUGGUCUGAUUUGACUACUGCCUUAAUUUGCUGAGAGGAAAAAUUCUGAACGGAGAUUCAACAAUUCAAUCAGAGGAAAAAAAAUAUCAGCAGACAGUUCUUGAAAUUUCAUCAUCUGCACCAGUUGUGAGAGAACUCUUUAGUCCUAUUCUUUUGUGCCUUGAAAGUUCGCGUUUCUAAAAUACAAGUACUUCCUUUUGUGCUAUUGAUUUGUAAUAUUUGGUGUCAGUCGUACAAUAUCUGACUAGGUCAUUAUCAUUUACACAAUAAUUUUUAUGGUCAUUAACUGCAGAAUCGAAAGAAAGCAGAAACCAACAAUUUUGUUCUCCAAGGUUUGAUCUAUGAUCACAAGGGGACAAGUUAUUAUUCUCAAGAGGAUUGGGUAAGUGUCUCGAAAGUGAUUCUCUUGUAGCCAAGCUUGUUAAACAAAAAUCAAGGCCCACCUUGGCACUAAUGGAUCUUACAAGCUUGAUAAACAAAAAUCAAGGCCCACCUUGGCACUAAUGGAUCUCCAUCCCCAUCAAGGCCCACCUCGGCACUAAUGGAUCUCCAUCCCCUGUUAUGUGUAGUACUGUAUUUCUGAUUUCCUAAAGUGGUCUUGGUGAAGGUUGAUGAUUGCUUUCACUAGUCUCGUUGUUUCUCUGUUUACUGAAUCAUACUAAGAUAUGACUGACAUUUAAUAGUUGAAAUAAGCUUAGGCUUUUAGACCUUUCUUCCAUUAUGUGUAUUGUAUGCAUUAUUAAUGUAUUAAUAUUAAAUUCUUUUUAUGAUAACAUCCAUGUUUAGUGACACUUAAAAAAGAAUCACGGAGAAAUUUAACCCUACUGGAUUUCCUCCUAUGUAUCAUGACCAAAUAACGAACCAUAUCCUGUGCCAUAAAUAUUUCUAAUGAAAAUUAAUAUAGUAAGGAUAAAAUUUGUCAUAUAAUAUUAAUAGCCCUCUUUAGAGGACAAUUACAUGCCUACAAUUUUCUUUUAUGUACAUGUUUAUGGAUUUCUUUUGCUGAGGUUGAGGAGAAGAGGAUUGAGAAGAUUGGGAAGAUACAUAAAACGAGGCCCCACGGUUCCGACUGCGGAAUAUUAUACCCAUAGAUGGUGCUGAAAUUUGGUGGAGCUUUUGGUGAAGAAAAAGCAAUUGGUGGAGGAUAAGAAGCAGGGAGUGAUUCCAUUGAAUGUUUGAAAUGUUUGCUUUCAUUUUCUGUUUUCAGAUUUCCUGAAGCAAGUUUAACCAUACAUCACAAAUGCCUAGCCCUUCGAUGGAAACAUUUUUUUAACAGUUUAAAGUGCAGCUAUACCUUUUCAUCGUAUUUGAUAUGCACGAGUACCAGAACUACCUGAACGAGUUGAAGACCCUGUGGUUAUCCAGAGAACCAACAGUGAUGUGGCUUUGAAUGAAUGUGGAUUAUCUGCAAUACUCUUUCAUAUGGGUUAAUUGUUAUUAGGACUUUUGUUGUAAUUAUGCCCAAAGAAAAAUGAUUGUGCUGUAACUAUCACUACUAGCAACUGUGGUGGUUUGUCUGAUGACUUUUGCUAAUGAACAAUGAUUUUCACUAAUCAUAGAUAAACACCAAUUAUACAGCUA